rnacentral:lncRNA from 1 species
GGACACAUGCAGAAGGAAUGCCCUGACUUUAAGGAGUGGCUGGCUAAGAAAGGGAUUCCUUUCAAUCCGGAAGCUGGAAAGAAACCAAAGAACGCUUAAGGUUGGGGAUGAUCGAGAAUUAGAAGUGAAGGCCAUUGGAACAUUACAAUUAGUUAUGAAAACUGGUUUAUGUAUUAAACUUUAUGAUACCUUAUAUGUUCCUGAGGUAACUCGGAACCUUGUAUCAGGACCAAAGUUAGACAUGGACGGUUUUAUUGUUUCCCAUGGUCAUCGCAAACUCUCUAUCCAUUAUGAUUCUGUUCUUUAUGGUACUGGUGUUCUGGAUGGAGGUCUCUAUAGAUUAGAACUAGAUGAUGGCUUUUCCAAAUCUUUGUUGUCAUAUAACAUUAAUGAAUCACUCACAAAGAUGGAAGAGAAACGAGACUUAGAGACUUCAUCCAUGUUGUGGCAUCAGCGUUUAGGCCACAUUUCAAAAGAGCGAUUAAAUCGUCUCGUAAAGGAUGAAGUCUUACCUCCUCUCGAUUUCUCUGAUUUUGGAACAUGUGUCAAAUGUCUUAAAGGUAAAAUGACAUUAGCGAAUAAGAAAGGUGCCACUAGGAGUUCUAAUUUAUUAGAACUCAUUCACACUGACAUUAGUGGUCCCUACCAAAUCGCUGGCAUAACAGGACAUACUUCAUUUAUCACUUUUAUUGAUGAUUAUUCUCGUUAUAUGUACUUGUAUCUUAUUAAGGAGAAAUCUGAAUCUCUAACAACUUUUAAAGAUUAUAAGGCUGAAGUUGAAAAGCAAUUAGAUCGUCAGAUUAAAGUUGUGAGAUCAGAUAGAGGCGGUGAGUAUUAUGGAAGACAUACUGAUGUGGGUCAAGCUCCUGGUCCAUUUUAUGAGUUUUGUAAGGGCCAGGGGAUUGUGAACCAAUACACCAUGCCUGGUACACCUCAGCAGAACGGUGUCGCUGAAAGAAGAAACCGUACCCUUAUGAACAUGGUGCGCAGUAUGUUAGCCAACA